ensembl:snRNA U6 U6 spliceosomal RNA
GUGCUCAUUGCGGCAGUAAAUAUACUAAACUUGGAAUGAUACAGAGAAGAUUAGCAUGGUCCCUACAGAAGGAUGAUAUGCAAAUUCCUGGAGCUUUCCAUAUUUUU